rnacentral:rRNA from 1 species
AGGCUGCAACUCGCCUGCAUGAAGUUGGAAUUGCUAGUAAUCGCGAAUCAGAAUGUCGCGGUGAAUACGUUCCCGGGCCUUGUACACACCGUCCGUCACACCAUGAGAGCCGAUAACACCCGAAGCCUGUGAGCUAACCGUAAGGGGGCAGCAGUCGAAGGUGGGGUUGGUGAUUGGGGUGAAGUCGUAACAAGGUAGC